GUGCCAGCAGCCGCGGUAAUACGUAGGGUGCGAGCGUUAAUCGGAAUUACUGGGCGUAAAGCGUGCGCAGGCGGUUUUUUAAGACAGGCGUGAAAUCCCCGGGCUCAACCUGGGAACUGCGCUUGUGACUGGAAGGCUAGAGUACGGCAGAGGGGGGUGGAAUUCCACGUGUAGCAGUGAAAUGCGUAGAGAUGUGGAGGAACACCAAUGGCGAAGGCAGCCCCCUGGGUCGAUACUGACGCUCAUGCACGAAAGCGUGGGUAGCAAACAGGAUUAGAUACCCUGGUAGUCCACGCCCUAAACGAUGUCAACUAGGUGUUGGAUGGGUAAAACCAUUUAGUACCGGAGCUAACGCGUGAAGUUGACCGCCUGGGGAGUACGGCCGCAAGGUUAAA
rnacentral:rRNA from 1 species